rnacentral:rRNA from 1 species
AUUGAACGCUGGCGGCAGGCCUAACACAUGCAAGUCGAACGAGUGGCGGACGGGUGAGUAAUGUCUGUGAAACUGCCUGAUGGAGGGGGAUACCUACUGGAAACGGUAGCUAAUACCGCAUACCAUCGGAUGUGCCUAGAUGGGCUUAGCUAGUAGUUGGGGGAAAGGCUCACCUAGGCGACGAUCCCUAGCUGGUCUGAGAGGAUGACGAGCCACAGUGGACUGGAGACACGGUCCAGACUCCUAGGGGAGGAAGAAGUGGGGAAUAGUGGAAAAGGGGCGAAAGCCUGAUGCAGCCAGGCCGCGUGUAUGAAGAAGGCCUUCGGGUGGUAAAGUACUUUCAGCGGGGAGGCGUUAACCGAAGAAGAAGCACCGGCUAACUACGUGCCAGCAGCCGCGGUAAUUC